UGUUUCAUCAGAGACAGGACGGAGGGAAAGGAGAACGUUUUGUGUCGGAAGCUGUUUCGGGUGUCUUUUUGCGGAGGUUUCUGGGCUUUUUUUCUAAAAGGGAAAAGUGCUUUUAUGAAUUUCUGUUUUUUUUUUUAAAACACAGAAGGUAGACCUAAUCUUGAAAAGAGACGGCAAUCAGAGUUGCGACAUUCACGUCUAUCUUCACUUUUCUGUACAGUGAAGAGCCUGGAAUCACAGGAGAGUCAUAGUGUCCUGAAAGAGAAGUGCAAGUGCUGGAUCCAAUCCCUGAUUCUCAAAGGGCCAGGCGGCCCUCUCUAAACAAUUUGAUUGGAUGUAUUAGGACCCCUCUGCUGUGUGAAAAUGUAUCCUCAUCUACUCCUACUGUUGAUGAUCAGUACUGAAAAUUUAGUCUUCAAAGCUACAGUCAUCUUGUUUACCAAAGACUUGACCCCCUUCCCCUCACUUGAACCGUUGGUAGAGUCGACCUGGAAAGGAAACUUCUUUGAUUAUUAAGCUUAAAACAGCUACUGGCCAUUUUAGGGUCAUGUUAAUGAAGGGACACAAGCUGGGACUAUGAAAAUGGUUUUUCUUUGGAAAGCCAAUUGUGGUCACUAUAUUUUUAUUUCAAUUCUUAGUGGGUUACCAAGAGAGACAAAAUCAGGUAUAAUCCCUCCAGUUUUGUGUAACGAGAACUAAUGCAAUGCCCCCAUACAAUAAAGGAAAGAAAAAAGGAACCUCAAGCAAUGUUUAUAUAUAGGUUUAUGUGAAAAUCUCCAGAAGCCAGAUGUGUAAGGGGCAUAUGCUAGGAGGCAACACCUGUGGAGAAAUUGCAUAUCUCUGUUCUAAGAAGUGCUAAUAUCUGAAACAACCCUUUCAGCAGAAACACAGUUUCAUGGAA